rnacentral:rRNA from 1 species
UACGGGGGGGGGCAAGCGUUGUUCGGAUUCAUUGGGCGUAAAGGGUGCGUAGGCGGCGCGGUAAGUCGGGUGUGAAAUCUCGGAGCUUAACUCCGAAACUGCAUUCGAUACUGCCGUGCUUGAGGACUGGAGAGGAGACUGGAAUUUACGGUGUAGCGGUGAAAUGCGUAGAUAUCGUAAGGAAGACCAGUGGCGAAGGCGGGUCUCUGGACAGUUCCUGACGCUGAGGCACGAAGGCCAGGGGAGCAAACGGG